GAGCCCGCGGCCUAUCAGCUUGUUGGUGGGGUAAUGGCCUACCAAGGCGACGACGGGUAGCCGGCCUGAGAGGGCGACCGGCCACACUGGGACUGAGACACGGCCCAGACUCCUACGGGAGGCAGCAGUGGGGAAUAUUGCACAAUGGGCGAAAGCCUGAUGCAGCGACGCCGCGUGAGGGAUGACGGCCUUCGGGUUGUAAACCUCUUUCAGCAGGGAAGAAGCGAAAGUGACGGUACCUGCAGAAGAAGCGCCGGCUAACUACGUGCCAGCAGCCGCGGUAAUACGUAGGGCGCAAGCGUUGUCCGGAAUUAUUGGGCGUAAAGAGCUCGUAGGCGGCUUGUCACGUCGGUUGUGAAAGCCCGGGGCUUAACCCCGGGUCUGCAGUCGAUACGGGCAGGCUAGAGUGUGGUAGGGGAGAUCGGAAUUCCUGGUGUAGCGGUGAAAUGCGCAGAUAUCAGGAGGAACACCGGUGGCGAAGGCGGAUCUCUGGGCCAUUACUGACGCUGAGGAGCGAAAGCGUGGGGAGCGAACAGGAUUAGAUACCCUGGUAGUCCACGCCGUAAACGUUGGGAACUAGGUGUUGGCGACAUUC
rnacentral:rRNA from 1 species